CGGAUAGAGGUUGCGGCUUUUAUCAGUACCCCGGCUCCUAUGGAAGCACCCGCCGGAUCGGGGGAAAGGAAACGCCGCCGAAGGAACCGUGCAGGGCAGCAGGGCUCCUGAUGGUGCAUUGAACAGGUGUACCAUUGUCAUCAUAGAGUAUGAUGGAGCGCUAUC
rnacentral:ncRNA from 1 species